UGAUUGUGCUUGGGUUCUUAGUGCUAUCAGU
rnacentral:piRNA from 1 species